CAUGUAGAAUUAAUGUUUUAGUUUAUGAUGCACAAUAUGACAAGACCAAAGGGUCUGAGUCACAUGAUUACAAUUAGCCCGAGGGCUUCUAUGCAACCAGUACUAAGCCUGAUGGGUAUACUUGUCACAAGAGAAAAUUAGAAAUGCUAAAGUGUUAAAUGGCCGAAGAGAUAAGGUUCUCCGGUGAUUCUCGUUACGACCAAGAAUCCAUUGAUUCAAUUAGCUUUGGCUGUACAAGGUCAUAGCAAAUCGCCUCGUGAGGAAUUAGGAGGGAAGACGGCGUCGCAGAUCGAAGGUCGUCUGCACCCGAGGAGCAUCUCCCAUUCGUGGGCAGAUGUUGGCCGCCGCCGGCCGCCAUGUCGUCACGCUGAAUCAAGAGAAGUGGCAUCACAGCCGAAGGCCGCCGUGCUCGGGGAAGAAGCCACGGGGCCAAGGGCCUCCGCACGCUCCGUGAUGGGCCCCGUCAUCCCUAGGUUGGAUACACCUCUGCGUUGGGGCCGAAGGCCGUGGCAACACCAUGAGCGUCGCUUGUGUCAUCGGCCAGCGGGUCGCGUCCGAGGGAGAACCACGCACCGCGCCAUGGUCGUGCUCCGCCUGUGGGAGGAGCAUCGCGUCAGAUGCUUCAUCCGAGAGGUGGAGGACGCCGUCAUCGCGAAACGCCGAGGGCCUCGGAUUUGGCCGGCCCGGUCCUGCUAUGAUUACUGUACUUUGAAAUAUGCUUAUUAUGAUCAUUAUAUACGUGCUGACGUAAUUAUACGAUCACUGGCUCGCCGUAUAACAUUCCUGCGACACCAGAUGCAUUCCUGCGACGUGGCGCCGAAUAACGCGACAUACAGUACGCUGAUCAAUGUGUAUGAGGGUGGCAUUGUUGUGGCUCGGGGACACUAUCCUUCAUGGGCAUAAGAAGGCUGGAGAGUAUGAGAAGGCAAAGAUUUUCUUUCAAAGAUGGUCAUCUGAAUGAGAUACAAGAGGCAGGGGCAACAAGACAUGGGUGACGCCGGCGUCGGCUAUGUCACCAACCUGGGCGUGCGUCGUCUCCAGCCACCUCGCACCGCGCCUUCACUAGAUCCACUCUUGUUGGGCGCCGUCGGCCCGCCCUCUUCUCCGCAUGCUGGGAGGACCGCGCGGGGCCUCCCGAGGCGAAGCGGGGAGCGUGAGGGCGACGGUCACAGCGCGAGCGAGGUGCUUGAGGCGGGCGAGCGGGAGGGCACAAAGAGGAAGCAUAUGACGGUCAUUUGGGAGCAGGAGGGGAGGGAGAGCAGAGCAGCGGCAACUGGUCAAUGUUGCUUAGGUUGAUCAGUCAACUCGGUUGAAUAGAGAGGUAUAUGGUGAGCCAGUGACCGUAUAAUCUCUACUAUUAAAGUAGGAUCGAACGUCGUGAUGGUUCAACCAGGUGGAUGGUUCGACCUCCCAUCCCACCCAUCGGUCGCAUGCAGUAAAAAAAUCGCUAGAUCCCGCCGCAGAACGAGUCCACCUUUCCAACCCCUUGUCGCUAGAAAAAAACUGCCACUUUCCCACCCCACCUCUCCUCACCCCUCGUUCCCGAUCUCGUCUCUCUCCUUCCAAAAAUCAUCCCAAAUGGUCGCCGCCGCCUCCUUCCUCGCCGCUCCCUCCCCGCUCGCCCGCCGGCCGCGCCUGCGCCAUUCCCUCCGCCAC